rnacentral:lncRNA from 1 species
UGAGGGGGAGAAUCUGAAAUCUUAAGAAAGCAAAUUCAUUAAUCACAUAUAAGCCAAACAAUUGAUUGCAUGAUUUGAAGGCUUAUAUAAUUUCAAAUGAAAGAGGGAGCUUUAAUUUCAGGAUUUACUGUUUCAUACCUUUUAAUUUUGGAUAAAUUAAAUGACUAGACAUUUGAAUUCAUUUCAAAACUUUACUAUAAAUUACCUCUUGGUUGAGCAAUUNNNNNNNNNNNNNNNNNNNNAGCUUUAAUUUCAGGAUUUACUGUUUCAUACCUUUCAAUUUUGGAUAAAUUAAAUGACUAGACAUUUGAAUUCAUUUCAAAACUUUACUAUAAAUUACCUCUUGGUUGAGCAAUUCACUUUACAAAUACUCAAUGUUUUGUCAUCAUCAAAAAGGAGGAAAUUGUGGAGUGAUUGAUUAUACCCCUAUUUGAUUUUGAUGAGCUCAAAGCAUUUGAGUAUAUUUCAUGUUCUACUAAUGAAUUCAAUCUAGUGUUUCAGGCAAAUAUAUGUGAAUUUAUCUUUAAGAGCAUCGAGCUUUGGUUCAAAGAAUUUUGGCUAAGUGUUGAACUCAAUUAAGCCAAAGUCUGAAUCUCGAGUCGACUCCAGAAGAUUACGAGUCGACUCUAAGUGUUUCAGAGGUUCUGGCACAAGCUCGAGUCGACUCCAGUACACUACGAGUCGACUCCGACUGAGAACAGACAGA